AAUUAUAGGGCAUCACGUGCUUUCCAUGUGACGCCGGUCGGCGAGAGCCGGAAGGACGAGAAGACGAUGAAAUGAGUGUUGAAAGACUCCAUCUCCGUUCUCUCCUCAGUCCCUGUGGCUGCCAGAUUCAUCAGUGAAGAAGAUUCCUCAAUUCCUCAGUCCCAAUUUACGUAGUUGCGUGCGUCGACCUCUGAUAUCAAGAUGCAGCAUUGUUCAGGGGUAGAUUUAGAGUUGGCUGGCUGCCUAUUGGUAUUCUCAUACAUUCUGGUGUCAGUUGAGGAUAUUGCCAAUAUAUAGCUGAAAACUCCGAAAUACGGAGGCUUGCAACAUCUGUGGUGGAUCCAAAAUCAGAAAUUGAAGAUUGAGACCUGGAAGCUUGAAUAUGUAUAUUGUUUUAUGGAGAAGUUCCUUGGAGGAAGACAGCGGUUCAAGUGUGUGGUUUAUUCCGAGAUAACUGAAGCGAUGCAAUUUUCUAUGAUUGAUGGAAGUGGAAGUUCAACAAAUGAGGGAGGCUUAGCUACCUGGUGUAGGGGUGUGAUACCAUGUUUAAGGCAGCUAAGCUACUAUAAUUCCACAUUUAAUGCAUUCAUCCUGAAGAGGAAAUUCUAGGAUGCAUUUGAAUCUGACGUCAACAGCGUAGAUGGAGGUAGCGGGCUU